rnacentral:lncRNA from 1 species
ACAGCUGAGCAGAGGUGAGGUUGACCCAUGGACUUUGGAAGCAUCCUCCAGCUCUAAGCUGUAACAUACCAUCUAUUCAAUCCCAUAUUUUUAAGAAAAAUUUCCAAAAACUGCUGGAGAACUAUCUUUCAUCCAGUUUCUUUAGAGCUUCAGUCGCCAAUGCAAACAACCAGUUUUCAAGA